rnacentral:lncRNA from 1 species
CAACUUUUGAAUGCACACCUUACAUUCUCACUAUCAAAAAAUUUAAGAUAAUACCAUCGACCGUCCCUAGCGCAAAAAGCAAAAGACUUAGUAAUUGGUAUCCAAAGUUUCAAGUUUGAAUACUAGUUGAUUCACAUUUUCGGCUAAAUUUAUUUCUAAAUUUAAUAAACGAAGCGUAUAACAUGCUACCUAUUUCUCUCUCAAAAGAAAAAGAUGAUAACAACGAUCAUUCCUAGCGCAAAUGGCAAAGAAUUUAGUAGUUGAUAUCCGAAGUUCAAAGUUUGAAUUCUAAUUAAUUCACAUUUUCAGCUAAUUCAUUUCCAAAUGAAAUAAACGAAACAGUUAGUAUACUACCUAUCUCAAAAAAUAAAAAAGAAGAAGAUAAUUCUCUUUAAAGUUUAAUA